GAUGAACGCUGGCGGCGUGCCUAAUACAUGCAAGUCGAGCGAACAGACGAGGAGCUUGCUCCUCUGACGUUAGCGGCGGACGGGUGAGUAACACGUGGAUAACCCACCUAUAAGACUGGGAUAACUUCGGGAAACCGGAGCUAAUACCGGAUAAUAUAUUGAACCGCAUGGUUCAAUAGUGAAUUACUGUUUUGCUGUCACUUAUAGAUGGAUCCGCUCCGCGGUAGCUAGUUGGUACGGUAACGGCUUACCAAGGCAACGAUGCGUAGCCGACCUGAGAGGGGGAGCGGCCACGCUGGAACGGAGGGCAGGUCUAGACUCCUGCUGGAGGCAGCAGUAGUGCGGCUGGCGCCAGUGGCGAAUGCUUGACGAAGGAACGCAGCGUGAUGGAUGAACGUCUUCUGAUCGUUGAACGCCGUUAUUUUGGAAACACAAAUGUAUAGGGAACUAUGCUCGUCUUGACGGUACCAGAACAGGAAGCCACGGCUAACUACGUG
rnacentral:rRNA from 1 species